CACGUAGGCACCAAGCGUUGUCCGGAUUUAUUGGGCGUAAAGAGCUCGUUGGCGGUUCGGUAAGUCGGGUGUGAAAACUUUGGGCUCAACCCAAAGCCUGCACUCGAUACUGCUGUGACUUGAGUCCGGUAGGGGAGUGGGGAAUUCCUGGUGUAGCGGUGGAAUGCGCAGAUAUCAGGAGGAACACCGGUGGCGAAGGCGCCACUCUGGGCCGGUACUGACGCUGAGGAGCGAAAGCGUGGGGAGCGAACAGG
rnacentral:rRNA from 1 species